GUAGGGAAUAUUGGACAAUGGGGGCAACCCUGAUCCAGCGACGCCGCGUGAGUGACGAAGGCCUUCGGGUCGUAAAGCUCUGUUGCAAGGGAAAAACAAAAUGAUGGUACCUUGCUAGAAAGGAUCGGCUAACUUCGUGCCAGCAGCCGCGGUAAGACGAGGGAUCCUAGCGCUGUUCGGAAUUAUUGGGCGUAAAGCGGGUGUAGGUGGCUUUGUCAGUCAGGUGUGAAAGCCUGGGGCUUAACCCCAGAAGUGCAUUUGAUACUGCGAAGCUUGAGUGCUGGAGAGGCUACUAGAAUUCUUGGUGUAGUGGUGAAAUACGUAGAUAUCAAGAGGAAUACCGGAGGCGAAGGCGGGUAGCUGGCCAGACACUGACACUCAGACCCGAAAGCGUGGGGAUCAAACAGGAUUAGAUACCCCGGUAGUCC
rnacentral:rRNA from 1 species